rnacentral:lncRNA from 1 species
GGCCGUGGGCGACGACGACUACGGGGAGGACCCCACGGUGAACGAGCUUCAGCGUCUGGCUGCGAGGACCAUGGGGAUGGAGGAUGCUCUGUUUGUGCCAACAGCCACGAUGGCCAACCUCAUUGCGGUGAUGUGCCACUGCCAGCGCCGAGGGGCCCAGCUGCUCCUGGGGAGGGAGGCCCACCUGCACGUCUACGAGCACGGCGGGGUCGCUCAGGUAGGUGCUGCGUGCUGCCUGGCUCACAGGUCUCCAGCCAGUGCCCCAAACCUCCUCCUUCUUGGGGACACCCCCAACCCGGGCCCUAGGGAGGGGAACCUAGCGC